AUCAGAGUCUUCGUAGCUCGGCUAUCUAGGGGUUAAGGAUAAGUGUGCUCGCUAAGACGUCGCGUCUUAUGCCUACGUAUCUCAUCGGGAAUGAGAAUCAGAGCAAAACGUAGUUCAGCUAACUACGGGAACAAAGGUCUCGAUUGCAACUAGGGCAAGAGAAAGGGAAGGUCUCGAUCGCAACGAGGGCGAGAGAAAGGAUCGCAACGAGGGCGAAAGCAAACAAGGAU
rnacentral:lncRNA from 1 species